rnacentral:rRNA from 1 species
AUUCAGUCUCAUAAUAUCGGCUACCCCCAGAUGAUCAUCUUGGAAGCUAAGUGGGGUGAGUCCUGGUUUGCACUUGGAUGGGAGACUGCAAAGGAAUCCCAGGUAGGCUGGGUU